GACGAACGCUGGCGGCGUGCUUAACACAUGCAAGUCGAACGGAAAGGCCCUGCUUUUGUGGGUUGCUCGAUUGGCGAACGGGUGAGUAACACGUGAGUAACCUGUCCUUGUCUUUGUGAUAACUUCAGGAAACUGGGGCUCUUACCGGAUAGGAUCUCUUGCUGCAUGGUGGGGGUUGGAAAGUUUCGGCGGUUGGGGAUGGACUCGCUGCUUAUCAGCUUGUUUGUGGGGUAGUGGCUUACCAAGGCUUUGAAGGGUAGCCGGCCUGGGAGGGUGACCGGCGACAUUGGGACUAAGAUACGGCGCAGACUCCUACGGGAGGCAGCAGUGGGGAAUAUUGCAGAAUGGGCGGAAGCCUGAUGCAGCAACGCCGCGUGCGGGAUGACGGCCUUCGGGUUGUAAACCGCUUUCGAAGGUGCCGAAGCGUGAGUGACGGUAAUGGGUAAAGAAGCACCGGCUAACUACGUG
rnacentral:rRNA from 1 species